rnacentral:rRNA from 1 species
CGUGAGAAACCUGCCUUCAUCAGGGGGAUAACACUCCCAACGGAGUGCUAAUACCGCAUGAGACCACGGCACUGCAUGGUGCUGAGGUCAAAGGUGGCCUCUAUUUAUAAGCUACCGGAUGAAGAUGGUCUCGCGUCCCAUUAGCUAGUUGGCGGGGUAACGGCCCACCAAGGCGACGAUGGGUAGCUGGUCUGAGAGGAUGGUCAGCCACACUGGGACUGAGAUACGGCCCAGACUCCUACGGGAGGCAGCAGUCGAGAGGCUUCGGCAAUGGGGGAAACCCUGACCGAGCGACGCCGCGUGGGGGAUGAAGGCCCUUGGGUUGUAAACCCCUUUUGUUCGGGAAGAAGUGCGAUCAGGUGAACAAUCUGGUCGUUUGACGGUACCGGACGAAUAAGCUCCGGCUAACUCCGUGCCAGCAGCCGCGGUAACACGGGGGGAGCAAGCGUUGUUCGGAAUCACUGGGCGUAAAGGGCGUGUAGGCGGUCAGGUCAGUGAGAUGUGAAAUGCCUCGGCUCACCCGAGGACCGGCAUCUCAUACUGCUUGGCUUGAGUACGGGAGAGGACGUGGGAAUUCCUGGUGUAGCGGUGAAAUGCGUAGAUAUCAUGAGGAACACCGGUGGC